rnacentral:rRNA from 1 species
UACGUAGGGGGCAAGCGUUGUCCGGAUUCAUUGGGCGUAAAGAGCUCGUAGGCGGUUCGGCAAGUCGGGUGUGAAAACUCUAGGCUCAACCUAGAGACGCCACCCGAUACUGCUGUGACUUGAGUCCGGUAGGGGACCACGGAAUUCCUGGUGUAGCGGUGAAAUGCGCAGAUAUCAGGAAGAACACCCGUGGCUAAGGCGGCUCUCUAGUACGGUACUGACGCUGAGACGCGAAAGCGUGGGGAGCGAACAGG